CUCUGUUCUCCGUGUUUCAGUCUGCACUGAUUUGAAUGAGGACAGCUCUACUUGGAAGGAUCUGAACAGAAAUAUGUCAAGGACAGUUUUGAACGCAAGAUGUGAGAAACGUGUCUGAUAAUGAUGGUCAUCUUCUACGUGUUGGUGUCGGGAAUCGGCAUCUGGGCGUUCGUAAAUUCCACGGAGAUGGAGAAACACGCGCUCAGUGGACGGGUUGAAGUUUGGGUUUUGGCCUAACCGGAGGGUCAGCUUUGCAGUGGGACUCUUCACAAUGACAGUCUCGAAUUUGACCUCGUAAUGGGUCUUCCCGCAUGAGCGAGGAGAGGCGGCCACGCUAUUGCCCAUGCUGCUCCUGCGCCUUACCCCAACUGCCUAUGCCGUUGCUGGCAUGGGAGCUAUCGCCGGUGCUGCACCGUCAUCCGCUGACUUGUUGCCCGUGGGCAGCAACCUCAUCUUCACCACCGACGUCUACGAGAUCAUUAGACAUCAGGUACAAAGAAAAAGUGGUUAGAAAACAGAUGCGUGGAAACCACUUGUGGAUGAAAAACAUCAGCUGCAGUGGAUGGUUCGCUUCUCCAUCAUGGUUGUAGGCAUUGUGGGAACAUCCCUAACCUACACUGGACAGCAGCAUCAUGGCGGUCUGGUUCCUGAGCUCAGACCUGCCCGACACUACAACUGAUCUUUGUGAUGAGAAUGUGAUGUAGAGAGUUGGUGCAUUUCCCCGGUACGGUGCUGGACUUUCAAGACCACCCGCAUGCUGUCUGCUCUGGUCUCCAUGCUGCUGUUUUCAUAAGUGGCUUCACUCACACUGUUUUUAACAAGGGGAUCCUUCCUGGGAGGUGGGACGUGUUUGAGCUGAAAGCCCAGAGAGCACCAGCAGAUGGCGCCAGAGAGGGUGGUGGUGGUGAAGAGACCAAUUUUAAAAAUGAAAAAGAACCGGUGCUUGAUACAGGCUGCCAAUUCAGUUUCCAAAUGGCGUUAUUUUCUUUUCCUAACAUAGACGCUAAUGGCAGGAUAGAGAUCAGAAUCUCAAGGAAACAGUAGAACUAGAGGGAAGGAUGAGAUUCCGAUGGCUGGUUACUCCACAAACAUCUUUAACCACAUUUCUAACUCCUCAGCAUUUCUGCUUCCGCAGACGUGAUUGUCAAAGAAGCAAUUGAUCUAUACAUAAUGAUUCAAAUGCACAUUGGUUAUAGCAAUGUGCGUUAUUUUUAUUGUACUAUUUUAUUAUGUAAAAUAAAAAAUGUCAAAGAUUUCAUUACUUUUCAUAUAAAUU